rnacentral:rRNA from 1 species
AGAGUUUGAUCCUGGCUCAGGACGAACGCUGGCGGCGUGCCUAACACAUGCAAGUCGAGCGGAGAAUGCGGAUAUGUUUACAUGGAAGCAUUCUUAGCGGCGGACGGGUGAGUAACACGUGGGUAACCUGCCUCAAAGAGGGGGAUAGCCUUCCGAAAGGAAGAUUAAUACCGCAUAAGCCUGCAGUACCGCAUGGUACAGCAGGAAAAGGAGCAAUCCGCUUUGAGAUGGACCCGCGGCGCAUUAGCUAGUUGGUGAGGUAACGGCUCACCAAGGCGACGAUGCGUAGCCGACCUGAGAGGGUGAUCGGCCACAUUGGAACUGAGACACGGUCCAGACUCCUACGGGAGGCAGCAGUGGGGAAUAUUGCACAAUGGGCGAAAGCCUGAUGCAGCAACGCCGCGUGGAUGAUGAAGGCCUUCGGGUCGUAAAGUUCUUUGAUCAGGGAUGAUAAUGACAGUACCUGAAAAACAAGCCACGGCUAACUACGUGCCAGCAGCCGCGGUAAUACGUAGGUGGCGAGCGUUGUCCGGAAUUACUGGGCGUAAAGGAUGCGUAGGUGGAUACUUAAGUGGGAUGUGAAAUCCCCGGGCUCAACCCGGGAACUGCAUUCCAAACUGGGUAUCUAGAGUGCAGGAGAGGAAAGCGGAAUUCCUAGUGUAGCGGUGAAAUGCGUAGAUAUUAGGAGGAACACCAGUGGCGAAGGCGGCUUUCUGGACUGUAACUGACACUGAGGCAUGAAAGCGUGGGUAGCAAACAGGAUUAGAUACCCUGGUAGUCCACGCCGUAAACGAUGGGUACUAGGUGUAGGAGGUAUCGACCCCUUCUGUGC